UACGAGGGCGCAAGCGUUGUCCGGAAUUAUUGGGCGUAAAGAGCUCGUAGGCGGCCUGUUGCGUCCGCUGUGAAAUCCCGGGGCUCAACCCCGGGCCUGCAGUGGAUACGGGCUGGCUGGAGGCAGGCAGGGGAGAACGGAAUUCCUGGUGUAGCGGUGAAAUGCGUAGAUAUCAGGAGGAACACCGAUGGCGAAGGCAGGUCUCUGGGCUGACACUGACGCUCAUGCACGAAAGCGUGGGGAGCAAACAGG
rnacentral:rRNA from 1 species